UACAGAGGGUGCAAGCGUUGUUCGGAAUUAUUGGGCGUAAAGGGCGCGUAGGCGGUUCGGCAAGUCUCUAGUGAAAUCUCUGGGCUCAACUCAGAGUCUGCUGGGGAAACUGCCGGGCUUGAGUGUGGGAGAGGAGAGUGGAAUUCCCGGUGUAGCGGUGGAAUGCGUAGAUAUCGGGAGGAACACCUGUGGCGAAAGCGGCUCUCUGGACCACAACUGACGCUGAGGCGCGAAAGCUAGGGGAGCAAACAGG
rnacentral:rRNA from 1 species